UUAGUUUUAUUUUUGUUAAAAAAUUUAAUUUAAUAAAAUUUUACAUAUAAAAUUUUUUGUACAAAAUAAAAUUUUAAAAAAAUUUUAUUUUAUUUUUAAAAUUUAAUAGUAGUAAUUAAUAUUAUUAUUUUAAUUAACGUUAAAUUGAAGUUAUUAUUAAAAAACAUUGAUAAAAUUUGUGCCAGCAAUCGCGGUUAUACAAAUAUUGUAAUUAAAUUUUUUUAAUUUAAGUUAAAAUUAUUAUAAAUAUUUUUAAUAUUUAAAAUUAAAUAUAAAAUGAAAAAUAAAUUUUUAAGUGAAAUUUAAAUUUUAUUUAAUUUUUUAUAGAGCUAAAGUUUUUGAAUCUUUUAAAAUUUAAUUUUAAACUAGGAUUAGAUACCCUAUUAUUUAAAUUGUAAAAAUUUAUAAAAUUAAGGUAGUAUUAAUUAAUUUUUUAAAACUUAAAAAAUUUGGCGGUAUUUUAUUCUGUUUAGAGGAACUUGUUCUGUAAUUGAUAAUCCACAAAUAUUUUACUUUUUUUUGUUUUAGCUUAUAUAUCGUUGUCAUCAGAAUAUUUUAUAAGAAUAAAAAAUUUUCAAAAUUUUUAAUUUUAAAUUAUGUCAAAUCAAGGUAUAGUUUAUGGAAAAGUAGAAAUGAGUUACAAUAAAAUUUAUUUAAAUGGAUAAUUAUUUGAAAUAAAAAUUUAAAGGUGGAUUUAAAAGUAAAUUAAUUUAUAAAAAUUAAUUGAUUAAAGUUUUAAAAUAUGCACAUAUCGCCCGUCGCUCUCGUUAUAAUUAAUUUUUAAAUGAGAUAAGUCGUAACAUAGUAGAUGUAUCGGAAGAUGUAUCUAGAAAUA
rnacentral:ncRNA from 1 species